rnacentral:rRNA from 1 species
CCCUUAGAGUUUGAUCCUGGCUCAGGAUGAACUCUAGCGGCAGGCUUAACACAUGCAAGUCGCGGGGCAGCGCGGGGUAGCAAUACUCUGGCGGCGACCGGCGGAAGGGUGCGUAACGCGUGAGCAACUUGCCCGUAUCAGGGGGAUAACCGGUGGAAACGCCGCCUAAUACCCCAUAACAACAGAGUCAGCAUUGUCUUUGUUUGAAAGCUCCGGCGGAUACGGAUGGGCUCGCGUGACAUUAGCUAGUUGGUGAGGUAACGGCCCACCAAGGCUACGAUGUCUAGGGGAACUGAGAGGUUGGUCCCCCACACUGGAACUGAGACACGGUCCAGACUCCUACGGGAGGCAGCAGUGGGGAAUAUUGGGCAAUGGGCGCAAGCCUGACCCAGCGACGCCGCGUGAAUGAAGAAAUCCUUCGGGAUGUAAAGUUCUGUUGUGUGGGGAGAUGAUGACGGUACCACACGAGGAAGCCCCGGCAAACUACGUGCCAGCAGCCGCGGUAAUACGUAGGGGGCGAGCGUUGUUCGGAAUUACUGGGCGUAAAGCGCACGCAGGCGGAUUGUUAAGUGAAAUGUCAAAGGCAGUGGCUCAACUACUGUUUCCCAUUUCAUACUGGCGAUCCUAGAGUGAUUGAGAGGAAAGCGGAAUUCCUGGUGUAGCGGGGAAAUGGGUAGAUAUCAGGAGGGAACACCAGUGGCGAAGGCGACUCUCUGGUCUGUUUAUUGACACUGAGGCUCGAAAGCGUGGGGAGCAAAACAGGAUUAGAUACCCUGGUAGUCCACGCCGUAAACGAUGAGUGCUAAGUGUUGGAGGGCUUCCACCUUUCAGUGCUGCAGUUAACGCAUUAAGCACUCCGCCUGGGGAGUACGGCCGCAAGGCUGAAACUCAAAGGAAUUGACGGGGACCCGCACAAGCGGAGGAACAUGUGGUUUAAUUCGAUGAUACGCGAGGAACCUUACCCGGGCUUGAACUGCAGCGGAACGAUUCAGAGAUGAUGAGGUCCUUCGGGACUGCUGCGGAGGUGCUGCAUGGUUGUCGUCAGCUCGUGCCGUGAGGUGUCGGCUUAAGUGCCAUAACGAGCGCAACCCCUGUCCUUAGUUGCCAUCACUUCGGGUGGGCACUCUGGGGAUACUGCCACCGUAAGGUGUGAGGAAGGUGGGGAUGACGUCAAAUCAGCACGGCCCUUACGUCCGGGGCUACACACGUGUUACAAUGGCGUGUACAGAGAGUUGGUGCUGGGCAAUCAGCAUCUAAUCAAUAAAACACGUCUCAGUUCGGAUUGGGGUCUGCAACCCGACCCCAUGAAGCUGGAUUCGCUAGUAAUCGCGCAUCAGCCAUGGCGCGGUGAAUACGUUCCCGGGCCUUGCACUCACCGCCCGUCA